AGCGGUGAAACUCCAAUCGAGCCCGGAGAUAGCGGGUUAUCCCCGAAAUAGCUGUAGGGCUAGCCUCAAGGUGCGAGAUACUGAGGUAGAGCACUGAAUGUCCUAGGGGGUAGUGCACCUACCGAAGACUAUCAAACGCCGAAUGCCGUCAUCUUAUACCUGGGAGUCAGACUGUGGGUGAUAAGAUGCAUAGUCGAAAGGGCAACAGCCCAGAUCGUCAGCUAAGGUCCCUAAAUGUAAGUUAAGUGGUAAAGGAUGUGUGAUUGCACAGACAACCAGGAUGUUGGCUUAGAAGCAGCCACUCAUUCAAAGAGUGCGUAAUAGCUCAAUGGUCGAGUGAUCCUGCGCCGAAGAAUUCCGGGGCUAAAACUUACUACCGAAGCUAAGGCAUCAGUAAUGAUGGGUAGGGGAGCUGCCCAUACGGGUUGAAGCAUGACCGUAAGGAGAUGUGG
rnacentral:rRNA from 1 species